UACAGAGGUCUCAAGCGUUGUUCGGAUUCAUUGGGCGUAAAGGGUGCGUAGGUGGCGGGGCAAGUUUGGUGUGAAAUCCCGGGGCCUCAACCCCGGAACUGCACUGAAUACUGCCUUGCUAGAGCACUGGAGAGGGAACUGGAAUUUACGGUGUAGCAGUGAAAUGCGUAGAUAUCGUAAGGAAGACCAGUGGCGAAGGCGAGUUCCUGGACAGUUGCUGACACUG
rnacentral:rRNA from 1 species